rnacentral:rRNA from 1 species
CGAACGCUGGCGGCAGGCUUAACACAUGCAAGUCGAGCCGAGAAGCGUAUCUUCGGGUACGUGGAGAGCGGCGGACGGGUGAGUAACGCGUGGGAACAUGCCCUAUGGUGGGGGAUAACGGCUGGAAACGGCCACUAAUACCGCAUAAUCCCUUGGUCUUUUGAUCUUGGGGAAAGAUUUAUCGCCAUUGGAUUGGCCCGCGUUGGAUUAGCUAGUUGGUGGGGUAACGGCCUACCAAGGCAACGAUCUAUAGCUGGUCUGAGAGGAUGAUCAGCCACACUGGGACUGAGACACGGCCCAGACUCCUACGGGAGGCAGCAGUGGGGAAUAUUGGACAAUGGGCGCAAGCCUGAUCCAGCCAUGCCGCGUGAGUGAAGAAGGCCUUAGGGUUGUAAAACUCUUUCACCGGUGAAGAUAAUGACGGUAGCCGGAGAAGAAGCCCCGGCUAACUCCGUGCCAGCAGCCGCGGUAAU